rnacentral:rRNA from 1 species
AUUGAACGCUGGCGGCAGGCUUAACACAUGCAAGUCGAGCGGGGUGAUGGUGCUUGCACUAUCACUUAGCGGCGGACGGGUGAGUAAUGCUUAGGAAUCUGCCUAUUAGUGGGGGACAACAUCUCGAAAGGGAUGCUAAUACCGCAUACGUCCUACGGGAGAAAGCAGGGGAUCACUUGUGACCUUGCGCUAAUAGAUGAGCCUAAGUCGGAUUAGCUAGUUGGUGGGGUAAAGGCCUACCAAGGCGACGAUCUGUAGCGGGUCUGAGAGGAUGACCCGCCACACUGGGACUGGGACACGGCCCAGACUCCUACGGGAGGCAGCAGUGGGGAAUAUUGGACAAUGGGGGGAACCCUGAUCCAGCCAUGCCGCGUGUGUGAAGAAGGCCUUAUGGUCGUAAAGCACUUUAAGCGAGGAGGAGGCUCUUUUGGUUAAUACCCAAGAUGAGUGGACGUUACUCGCAGAAUAAGCACCGGCUAACUCUGUGCCAGCAGCCGCCAUAA